UACGUAGGGUGCAAGCGUUAAUCGGAAUUACUGGGCGUAAAGCGUGCGCAGGCGGUCCGUUAAGACAGAUGUGAAAUCCCCGGGCUUAACCUGGGAACUGCAUUUGUGACUGGCGGACUCGAGUAUGGCAGAGGGGGGGGUAGAAUUCCACGUGUAGCAGUGAAAUGCGUAGAGAUGUGGAGGAAUACCGAUGGCGAAGGCAGCCCCCUGGGCCAAUACUGACGCUCAUGCACGAAAGCGUGGGGAGCAAACGA
rnacentral:rRNA from 1 species